GAGGGAGAAACGGAAGCACAGGAGGCAGAGGCAACAGAAGGAACAGAAAGGGGAUGGCGUUUAGAGGAUGAGGGAGAUAGGACGUAGAGGAAGAAGGUCUUAGCAGAGUGGAAGAAGAGGAUAACAAGGAGAGCAAUGAGAGUGGCCCAUCCAUAUCCCCAAAAAUGCGUUGAAGAUACUUCAUCGAAAUUAGCCAUCUUGCAUGUAUUCGCUAAUCCCUCUCUGGUGUUUUAGUUUUGAGAGUCGGAUAAAGGGUAGGGAUUUGCAUUUUGC
rnacentral:misc_RNA from 1 species